UCAGCCAUAUCCUGUCCAUUUGUCUGGAUCAGUUGCCGGGGAGUACCAACACUGCAUGAUCCAGCUACCCCUACCUCGAUCAUCCAGAACAGCAUCAACAGCACCAAGGACCUCUUCGACAUCGACCCCAUCAACCUCCAGAACACUGUCGACCCCAACGACCCCAUUGACCUCAACAUUCAGAAAUAUGGAUGUCGAAGUUGUACCACCACAAGCUAGACAAGAUUUUGAUUCCGACUAACCCGUUCUUUAAAGGUCCAUUGCCUUAGGAAAUUAAAACUUUUAUGUCUUGUAUCAAGACCCUUUUAAAGCAA